rnacentral:tRNA from 1 species
GAGGGUAAAGCUCAGUGGUAGAGUGCAUGCUUAGCAUGCAUGAAGUCCUGGUUCAAUCCCCAGUGCCUCUG